GAUCAUGGCUCAGGAUGAACGCUGGCGGCGUGCUUAACACAUGCAAGUCGAACGGACUUUAUAUGAAGCCUAGCGAUUAUAAAGUUAGUGGCGGACGGGUGAGUAACGCGUGAAUAACCUGCCCUGUACCGGGGGACAACAGUUGGAAACGACUGCUAAUACCGCAUAAGCACACGGUUCCGCAUGGAACAGUGUGAAAAACUCCGGUGGUACAGGAUGGAUUCGCGUCUGAUUAGCCAGUUGGUGGGG
rnacentral:rRNA from 1 species